rnacentral:rRNA from 1 species
UACGUAGGGGGCAAGCGUUAUCCGGAUUUACUGGGUGUAAAGGGAGCGUAGACGGCAGGGCAAGUCUGGAGUGAAAGGCAGGGGCCCAACCCUGGACUGCUCUGGAAACUGUCCGGCUGGAGUGCAGGAGAGGUAAGUGGAAUUCCUAGUGUAGCGGUGAAAUGCGUAGAUAUUAGGAGGAACACCAGUGGCGAAGGCGGCUUACUGGACUGUAACUGACGUUGAGGCUCGAAAGCGUGGGGAGCAAACAGGAUUAGAA